GGUACUGCUCGGCACUGCCCUGGGAUGCACAGACGUUGCCAUGACAACUGGGAACCGCAGGCAGCGCAUCUCCGGGAUCAUCACACACCCAAAUCAGCUGAGUGUGAGCAGUCCCAGCCCCAGCAUCAGCCCAGCCCUCACACUGGGAGGGGUAUGGGCACACAGGGGCAGUUUUUCCCAAGGCCUGGCUCAGCAUCCCUGACACUACUCCUGCAUCUCCAGCUGUUUCUUUCCCGUGGCUUCCUUGUCCUC
rnacentral:lncRNA from 1 species